GACGAACGCUGGCGGCGUGCUUAACACAUGCAAGUCGAACGGAAAGGCCCUGCUUGUGUGGGGUGCUCGAGUGGCGAACGGGUGAGUAACACGUGAGUAACCUGCCCUUGACUUUGGGAUAACUUCAGGAAACUGGGGCUAAUACCGGAUAGGAGCUCCUGCUGCAUGGUGGGGGUUGGAAAGUUUCGGCGGAUGGGGAUGGACUCGCGGCUUAUCAGCUUGUUGGUGGGGUAGUGGCUUACCAAGGCUUUGACGGGUAGCCGGCCUGAGAGGGUGACCGGCCACAUUGGGACUGAGAUACGGACCAGACUCGUACGGGAGGCAGCAGUGGGGAAUAUUGCACAAUGGGCGGAAGCGUGAUGCAGCAACGCCGCGUGCGGGAUGACGGCCUUCGGGUUGUAAACCGCUUUCGCCUGUGACGAAGCGUGAGUGACGGUAACGGGUAAAGAAGCACCGGCUAACUACGUG
rnacentral:rRNA from 1 species